UCGAGCCGAGGGCCAGCACGAGCCGAGGCCGGCGGGAGCGCCACGCGCCAUCCGGCCAUUCGCCGCCGGAAACUGCGGCCCUUCGCCCCGCCCGCGGUGGGCGGGGCGUUCGCCUGUAACGGCUUCCCGCUAGACCGGUGCCCUGGCGUUGACGUUGAGGCUCUCUGGGGGUCUGCAUGGGUCCGAAGCCGAGGUCUGAAGCCUCAGGGACGUUAGCUCCUUAAACAUGCGUGGAGUUAUGGCUUCCUUUCAGUUCUCAUGCAUCCCAGAAGAGACAGAAACCCACCCGAGAAAGGGAAUGUGUUUGUCCAAACGUCCGCAGCGCACGCAAGGCUUGAAAACGGAUCAGAAUCCGCACCGUUCGCCGGGCUGUCACCUCCCAGGGUUGCAAGGCGGAUGCUCGCUCCUAUAAAACAGAAUAGGGAAAAAUCUAAAGGAGCCCAAGAUAAAGGAAGCAAGUCCAGUGUGUCUGACAGAUUACCUGCUUGUAAUAAGUACAUUUAAUCUCAAGGUUCACGAUUAACCGCCUCUGAGUUACAAACUUAAGACAAAGAUGUCAGUGUCAGCGAAUUGACUUCUUGGUCUCUAUGUAUAUUCACAAAGACUGGGUUCGAUCUCCUGUACCUCACAGACCAGGCAAGCUUGCUACCAAUUGAACAACAAUCCCAGCCCUCAAACCUUGUUCAUCAUGCUCUCUUCAUUCAGCCGAUCAGCUGUCUCAUUCCCGAGGGAAGAUGACACCAAACCGAGAUGUAGGUGCAGGGCAUUCUCGCAAACUACAGUCUCUAGUGCAGCAUCCUUAAAAAAAUUUAGGCUACAUGUCCUGACUUCCAGGAUUGGACUUGAAUAACCGGGAUCACAAUAUUAAGUUUGCGAUAGCUUCCGGACUUCUGUGUAAAUAAGGACUUUGAGUGUAGUUUUAUGGACUCAGUUCUAUAACACCAGCUCAUAAUUAGAAAUUAGAAGGCAAAGAGCUAUCAAGAUGCAUCUAGCACUUUGAAAGGCGAAUGUGAAACUUUUACAACAAUAGAACAUCAAGCAUUUCAGAUGAUAUGGAAAUAAAGGGGCAGUUGUGAAUUGGUGGAGACAGUGAGGAUAAAGAUUGUGUUUUGAGGGUGGUGAGGCAAAUGGAAAACGAGAGGCCAUGUGGCCAUAGCCACUUUAGCUUUAAAAACCGUUGUUAGCCAAGCAGGGACAACAAGCACGGAAACUGGAUUGGCAAAUACAACAUUACUAGAGCAAUGAGGCCCAGUGGCACUCACACUGAAGUGAUGAAAGAGUGCCGCUGCGGUUUUUGGCUUUUCCAGACAGGGUCUCAAGUUGUCCUGGCUGGCCUUGAACUAUAUAGCUCACGUUUGCCUUAAAAACCCCUCCUGCCUGCCUCUGCCUUCUCUGUUGGAAUUAAACCUGUGUGCCACCA